UACGUAGGGUGCGAGCGUUAAUCGGAAUUACUGGGCGUAAAGCGCACGUAGGCGGAUUGCUAAGUCAGGGGUGAAAUCCUGGAGCUCAACUCCAGAACUGCCUUUGAUACUGGCGAUCUCGAGUCCGGGAGAGGUGAGUGGAACUGCGAGUGUAGAGGUGAAAUUCGUAGAUAUUCGCAAGAACACCAGUGGCGAAGGCGGCUCACUGGCCCGGUACUGACGCUGAGGUGCGAAAGCGUGGGGAGCAAACAGG
rnacentral:rRNA from 1 species